UCCGAUUCCUACGGGAGGCAGCAGUGGGGAAUAUUGGACAAUGGGCGCAAGCCUGAUCCAGCCAUGCCGCGUGUGUGAAGAAGGCCUUAGGGUUGUAAAGCACUUUCAGUGGGGAGAAAGGUCAUUCACCUAAUACGUGAGUGAAUUGAUGUUACCCACAGAAGAAGCACCGGCUAACUCCGUGCCAGCAGCCGCGGUAAUACGGAGGGUGCAAGCGUUAAUCGGAAUUACUGGGCGUAAAGCGCACGUAGGUGGUUUGUUAAGCUAGCUGUGAAAUCCCCGGGCUCAACCUGGGCACUGCAGUUAGAACUGGCAAGCUAGAGUAGGGUAGAGGGGUGUGGAAUUCCAGGUGUAGCGGUGAAAUGCGUAGAUAUCUGGAGGAACAUCAGUGGCGAAGGCGACACCCUGGACUCAUACUGACACUGAGGUGCGAAAGCGUGGGGAGCAAACUGGAUUAGAUACCCUGGUAGUCCACUCCAUAAACGAUGUCUACUACCCAUUGGGAGCCUUGAUCUCUUAGUGUCGCAACUAACGCACUACGUAGACCGCCUGGGGAGUACGGUCGCAAAAUUAAAACUCAGAUGAAUUGACUGGGGCCCGGGGAGGGGAUGGAACAUGUGUUUUUAUUAGACGCAAUGCCAAUAGCCAUACC
rnacentral:rRNA from 1 species